AUUUCAUUGAUGAGAGAGAAGAAGCCAUAAAAGCCAUUUUCAGGCAGCAGCAGCAGCAGCAGCAGCAGCAGCAGCAGCAGCAGCAAAGCACUUCUCAGCCUCAGAAAAGCUGAUUGUGCUGUUACUAGUUCCACCUUUCUCUGUUUGUAGAACAUAAGAGGAAGUUAAUAUGUAGCUUGUAAUUUACUUCUUGUAACGUAAAUCAUAUAUAUUUUCCGUGAUGGUUAAAGCCAUUUCGCGACUUAUUUAGCAGUGUUAAGGUUGGUAACUGGUGCCAAAUAUGUAAAAAAAAAAUUUCUGUUGCUAGAACUCAUGUGAUUGUGCCAAAAGCUCUAGAAUUUUUCUGUUCAAAAUUUUAGCUUUCCUUCGCUUUAUGAGUUGGGAUUAUCUUUGAUUUGAUCAUUACUUGUCCAUAAGAUAAGACAUGAAUAAGUUGGCAUGGUUUAGGACGCUGUUUGGUUGCAUGUAAAUGAGGCCAAAAAUAAGUUUUUUGCACUAAAAUUGAGAUCUAUACGUCUUUGUCUCCUGCAAAACAGUUUUAUGUAUUUUACAGAGAAACUCUUUUUAUGUAUGUCCUGAAUUCAUAUUAUACUAAAAUAAAUACCAAUAAAUGUCAUUUUUUUGGAAAAAAAAAAUCUCUCUUUUUCAAAUUGUUUUUAAGAGAUUUUACGCAGAAUCAGUAACAAAAAAUUGCCACAAGUCUACUUGACUUUGCUUUCAAAAAGAAGUCAACUGCCACCAGCAAACUACCAUUAACACAAGGGAAAACUUCAAAUAUCACCCAUGUGGUUUCACACAUUCUCACUUUAGUAUUCUGUUGUUCAAAGCGUAUCAAUUUAGUAUUCUCUGGUUUCAUUUUUAUUUCUUUUAUUAUCGAUUUCACUAAUUUUUUUCGUUAAAUUAGUGACAAAGUUAAAACUAAAAGGUAUUAAAGUGAAUAUUCGAUAAAUUUAUGUAGAGUAUCUGAAACUUUUUGUAUACAAUUUAACAAAAUAUUAACGGAGAAGCUCACGAAAAGAUAAAAAUGAAAUCACAGGACAUGAACUUGAUAUACUUUAAACUACAUGGUACUAAAGUGAGAACGUGCGAAACCACAGAGGUGGUAUCUGAAGUUUACCCUUAACAUAAACUACUUAAAAAAAAAAAGACCAUUAACGUAUAAAAAGAGGUCAUCCACCAUUAUAAUAAACUACUUAAAAAAGAAAGACCAUUAACAUAUAAAAAGAAGUCAACUACCAUUAACAUAAACUACUUAAAAAAAAAAAGAAAAGAGCAUUAACAUAUAAAAAGAAGUCAAAUUCGCAUUAAGCUACCAUAAAGAUAGAACUCCACCAAAAAGAAGCCGCAUUUUUCGCACUAAACUACCACAAAAUAGACGACUUGCAAAAUGGGGUCAAAUGAGCACUAAAUUCACACAUCACUAUCACCAUCAUAGAUAUUCCCUUGUCCGAGAUUUUUUUGAAGUAACGAUCAAAAUUUGAGAACAAAUUUCUACGAUUGGAUUUGUCUAUUGUACAUUCGCUCCAAAAUGACACCAUCAUGUUGCAUUUUAAAGAUUGUGUGGGUAGGACGCGAGUUUUAUAUUAUCUCUGAUAUCAUAUUACAUAAAAUUUUUUGAUAUUCUAUUAUUUUAAAAGAAUUAUGGGACUCAACAUAUUUGGAAUAGCAAAUGCUUUUCCUAAAGCCAAACAGAAAAAGAGCGCGCUCUAAAAGUAAAAAAAGUAUUUUACUAUUAAUAGCAUUACAGUCUAAUUCUAUAUAUAUAUAUAUAUAUAUAUGGCUGGGGAUAUUAUACUCUUAUGAGUAUAGACCCUCUUGUACUCAUAAAUUUUUAACCAUUGAUUGAUAGGAUGUGUGGUUAGGAUGAUGGUUAUCCUCAGGUUACUAAAAUGAUAAAGUGCAAAACCAAAGGGUACUAAAGUGAUAAAGUGCGAAACCACUCACAAGGUAUUAACUUGAUACACUUUAAAUCACAGGGUACUAAAGUGAAAAAGUGCAAAACCACAGGAUACUAACUUGAUACACUUUAAACCACNAGUACUGUGCACUUUUCGCUAAUAGGCGUUUCGAAGAGAUUCUCCCCUUGCAGUUGACAUGUCGAGAGCAAUCUUAGAACUUUCCGAAAGCGGAGAACUCCACAGAAUUCACAAGAAGUGGUUUUGCAAGACAAACUCAUGUGCUGCGCAGGGAAGCGGGAAUUCUGAGCCAGACCAGCUGCACUUGAGCUGCUUCUGGGGGCUAUUUCUGGUUUGUGGGGCAGCUACUAUUAUUUCUCUCCUCUUAUUUCUUCUACGGUCGAUUCGGCAAUUCAUUCGCUAUCGGAUAAAACAUAGAGAUCCUGCAUCAGAUACUGAGCUAUCAAAGAGGGGCUGUUCUCAAGCCAUUUAUAGCUUCUUCAAUUUCAUUGAUGAGAGAGAAGAAGCCAUAAAAGCCAUUUUCAGGCAGCAGCAGCAGCAAAGCACUUCUCAGCCUCAGAAAAGCUGAUUGUGCUGUUACUAGUUCCACCUUUCUCUGUUUGUAGAACAUAAGAGGAAGUUAAUAUGUAGCUUGUAAUUUACUUCUUGUAACGUAAAUCAUAUAUAUUUUCCGUGAUGGUUAAAGCCAUUUCGCGACUUAUUUAGCAGUGUUAGGGUUGGUAACUGGUGCCAAAUAUGUCAAAAAAAAAUUUCUGUUGCUAGAACUCAUGUGAUUGUGCCAAAAGCUCUAGAAUUUUUCUGUUCAAAA
rnacentral:lncRNA from 1 species